CCGAAGACGGUGCGCUAACCUGAGCAAUCAGGGGGCAGCCGGCCACGGUAAGGUCAGCGACUGGGGUGAAGUCGUAACAAGGUAGCCGUAGGUGAACCUGCAGAAGGAUCA
rnacentral:rRNA from 1 species